UUUUAUCUAUAUACUUAUCACUAUUGUACUUAUCUAACGCCUCUCUCUCCCCCCCCUCCCUUCACCACCACCACCACCACCGCCAGACCUGCCCAUCAUCACCACCACCACCACCACCACGACCACGACCACCACCACCACCCCCGCCCCCACCACCACCGCCUCCAAUGGACUCCUUCACCCGAGAUCAAACUUGUCAAAGGAUGGAGGUGCUGUUACUACUGCGACCAGCUUUUUCGAUUUCCCAAGCUUGUUCGGCUCAGCCAGUACGUCAGGAGGGGCGCGACCUGACCUUAACCUCUGGAGCGGCUGUUCUGCCCUCGUAUUGGUGGCGGCACAGCUGAGGCGUGUGUGGGAUGUGACACUGUGAGACCUGGCCACAUCCCUCCUCCCCCCUCCUGCUGCCUCAAGCCACAUCAAAAGAGAGAGAGAGAGAGAGAGAGAGAGAGAGAGAGAGAGAGAGAGAGAGAGAGAGAGUAUGUGUGUGUGUGUAUGUGUUUUAAUAGCCUAAUACUAAUAAUGUUUUUUUUUUUUUUAUUUACUACUAUACCGGUGAGCUUAACAACUAUUUAGCCCUAAGACUCUUGUGUGAUGGUAGACUUAAGAUUAUCCUACAUAUUUAUCUUAACUACUGAGAAAAACAGCAUAUUUCAUUCCUAAACGAAGACCAAACAACAUAUUUUACUCCUAAGCUACGACAAAAUUACAUUUCUCACUCCUAAACUACCAAGACUUAGGACCAAACAACAUAUUUCACUCCUAAACUAUCCAGAUGGCACAAGAAUGAAAGAGUGAACUGGCAAACUCUUGCAUUAGAAGAUUGGACACCAUAGGGAUGAAAGAGUGCAAUGGAUAACUCUUGCAUUAGGAAGUUGGACAGCAUAGGAAUGAAAGAGCGAAUUGGUUAUAAACUCAUGAUUUAGAAAGUUGAAUAGCAUAGGGAAGAAAGAGUGAACUGGUUAUGAACUCUUGCAAUAAAAGGUUGGACAACACAGGGAUGAAAGAAUGACAAUACUGUUAAACUCUUGCACUAUGAGGUUGAACAGUACAGGAAUGAAAGAGUGACAGUACUGGCCAACUCUUGCAUUAGGAAACUGGACAGCUUAGGAAUGAAGGAGCGACAAAACUGAUUAGCUCCUGCAUUGGAAAGUUGUUUUGCAUAGGGAUGAAAGAGUGACAAUACUGGUUAACUCCUACAUUUGGAAGUUGGACAGCAUAGGGAUGAAAGAGUGAGCCUCCAAUCAAUGUUCUUCAUAUCACGUACAUCAUUAAGGACAUCAUGCUUGCCUUCAUUGCCUGUAUAAUAGAAUAAAAUAACUCUCACUACACCUCUCUUGUAUACAAAAGACAGAGGUAGGCCUAUAUUUACUGCCCAAGCUGAAAUUAUUAUGUACUGUAUUCCUUGAUUUAUUUCAUUUUAUUCACUGAUGUAUUUCAAUUUCAUUUUGAGUUGUGGUGUUCUGUAGGGCGAGUUGCCAUAAACUUCAAUACCAUUCAGUUAUUUACGUUGAAAGAGAUUUCUUGAUAUGUUUAUUUAACUUCAGUCUUUUGUUCUUUAAUUGAAAUAUAAUAGAUACCUUUCAUACUACUACUACUACUACUACUAUUACUAUUACUACUACUACUACUAAUAUUACU